rnacentral:rRNA from 1 species
UACGUAGGCAGCAAGCGUUGUUCGGAAUUACUGGGCGUAAAGAGUGUGUAGGCGGUUCUCUAAGUCUGGUGUGAAAUCUCCCGGCUCAACUGGGGGGGUGCGCCGGAAACUGGAGUGCUUGAGGGUGGGAGAGGUAAGCGGAAUUCCUGGUGUAGCGGUGAAAUGCGUAGAUAUGAGGAGGAACACCUGUGGUGUAGACAGCUUACUGGACCACUUCUGACGCUGAGACGCGAGAGCGUGGGUAGCAAACAGG